GGGCAAAGUUGUUUUAGCGAUCUGGUUGCAACUAAGGUAUCCUGUAAGAACAAAUUGCUGCCUCCUCCAGGUGGAAAGGGAUCAAAUAUAAUUAAUCUGUGUGUGCCACACAGUAGCUUGAUAGUUUAAUUGAGGAAUGUUGACAUAUUGAGAGCUCAGCAUUACUUUCUGCUAUCAGCAGUGACGCAUUUACUGAUCACCUACUCUGAGAAAUCACUCUCUAAACUCUGGGGAUGCAGUUCUGAGGAGGAUACAGUUCUGUCUUCAGAAAAUGCUGAUGGAAAUAAUUUUAAUGAACAGUAAUGGUAAAAGGAGAUAAACGAAAACAGAAUCAAUGUGUGCAAAGUGACAGAAGCAUAAGAGCUGUAUCCUAACUGCACUGCUGAAUUUGGGCUUCCUGUGGGGGCACGGCAAGUGCCCUCUUUGAGAGUGAGGAGGCUGAGAGUCUCACACCAACAGGAAUGAGUGCUUUGAAAUUAACUGGUGUUUGGAAAUUGAUCUGAAGCCAGUGCCUGGGAUUCUGAGAUGCAGCCACAUCAUAAAGUUUCAUUACUCAAUUGCAGUAGAGAAAACCUCAAAGGAACCACUUCUAAUGGAAACUGCCUCAAUUCCUGGUCAAGUCUCACAGUCUAACCUGGAGGUGCUCUGAGAUGUGACUAAGUUAAGGAUUUUGAGAUGAAGAGACCAUCCUGAAUUAUCUGAGUGGGUCCUGAAUGUCAUCACAAGAAGCCUUAGAAGAGAGAAGCAUGAAAACCAGAAGAGGAGGAAGAGGCAACCGGGCCAUGAAGACAAGAGAUUAGAGUGAUGUGGCCACAAGUCAAGAAGUGCCGGCCUCCAGCAAAAAACUGGAAGUCAGGAGCAGGAUCUCUCCUAGAGCCUGUGGAGGGAAUGUAACCCUGCCAAUAACUUGAUUUUGGCCCAGAGAAACUGACUUCAGACUUCUGGCCUUCAGGAUGGCGAGAGAAUUAAAUCGCUGUUGUUUUUAGCCCAGUAUGUGGUAAUUUUGUUACAACAGCCACAGAAAACUAGUACAGUGGAUUUUUAGCAGUAGAAUUAAAUUAGCAGUGGAUUAAAGAGCAGUAGAAUUGUGAUUUUAUCAACACUUACUGGAUGGCAGAUUUCCUCUGCAGCAGAAGAGAAUAAAAUGUUGCCUAGGUGAUGCUGACCACCAAAACUUCUGCCAUGGACUCAGCAGUGUGAACAGACCCUGGGAAUCUAUGUACACAUAAAACACCAUGAACAUUUUGCAUUUUCUGAUUUGAACUGAAUAGGCGUUCUACUCUGUAAAUAUUUACAAAAAAACUAAAUAUAUAUUUAUGUUAACCCUUUGCUAGAGAUUUUUAAACAAACAAAAAAAUACCAGAUCUUAUUCACCAUUUUUGAUGUCAGUAAAGUGUGUUACGCAAAUUGGCUUCAAAAAUUAAAACCUGUAACAAACUUUGAGUCUUGAAAUGCAUGCUAUGUAUGAUCUUAAAAACAUGUAGGUAGGCUUAUUAGUUCAUAGAGGUUCAUAGUAUUUCAUAUGUUUUUCAGACUAUAUGUAGGGAAUUGCUGACAAAUCUUGGUAUCACUAAAUCCAUUAUCAUGUUCUGAAAUGUCACCAAAUUGAGCCUACAUAUUGUGAAGAGUGAGUGUAUGGCCAUAUAGUGUAUGGCCUCAAGAUUUUGUCUUAUAAUUUAAGUUUCAAUGUCCACACCUCAUCUAAAUUAGGGUACCAUUUGGACUAUCAUGUUUAAUAAAUUUACCACUAAGUAAUUACAUUAAAAACAAAUUUAUCUUAAAGAUGUAUAAAUUGUUUUCAUUGAAGAAGGUAGUUACUUUGGUAGCCUGUUAACAAAGCCCUGGGAAUUAUAAGACUGUAUUUUCAUGGAGGCAUACAUGUGUAGUAAUUGUAAAAUGGUUCUGUUUUCAUAUCUGGAUCUUUUAUAUGUGUGUCUGAAUUAAGAAAUUCCCAUAAUAAAAUAAAAUCUUAAUUUAGCAAAAUUAAUAUAUAGAAAGAAAUUUUAUAAAUCAUAGACUUUUAAGAUGAUCAAAUAACCUUGCUGAUCAUCUAGUCUCACACCUUUUUUGUAGAAGGCUAGACUAAAAUUCAUAAAUGUAAAUGAUCUCUCUAAAGGCAUAUGGCAAGCUAUUGGACACACCAGGAAUAAAACCCAGGUCUUGGCCGGGCGAGGUGGCUCACGCCUGUAAUCCCAGCACUUUGGGAGGCCGAGGCGGGCGGAUCACGAGG
ensembl:lncRNA novel transcript